GACACAGAGAGAGAGACAGAGGGUGAGAAAGUGUGUUCGUGUGGUCUGUGUGUGUUUGUGUUGUAGAGCAUUGGGCUAUACACAGACAGCCUGGUUUCCAGGCUAGCUGAGAAAUCCAUCUAGGUUUCCAUCUAGCUGAGGCUAGAUGUUGAACCCCAGGACCCAAUGGUAAUAAUUCACCUACAUAGGAUGGAAGGAGUUCUCUCAUGCUCCUGGAACUCUGGCUCCUGUUGAAGUUACCGACCCCUCAGCCCCCACAAGAGUAGCAUGGUUAGUAGUCACAUAGGCAAUGUCCCAAGCUUCUGACCUUCAGGCUAGACUCCUCCCCAGUUACCUAGCAACAGUAAAGAUAACAGCAUACCAUAAGAGGGGCUGCUUGGCCCCACCUUGCUCUCUUACUCCUUUUACUCCCCUUACACUCUUUUUUUUUUUUUUUUUUUUUUUUUUUGGUUUUGGUUUUGGUUUUGGGUUUGGGUUUUUUUUUUUUCCGAAACAGGGUUUCUCUGUGUAACUGGAACUCACUCUGUAGAUCAGGCUGGCUUCAAACUCAGAAAUCCACCUGCCUCUGCCUCCCAAGUGCUGGGAUUAAAGGCGUGCACCACCACACCAGGCUUCCUUACACUCUCCUUACUUUCUCCUCUUCUCUCCUCACCUCUCUCCUCACUCCUCUCACUUUCUUCCCCUCUCUCCCUCUUACUCUCUAGCCUUUCUUCUCUCUCUCCCUUUCCCCUUUCUCUCCUCUUGGCCAUGGCCGGUUUCUCUCUCCAUUUCCACCUUUUCUCUUUCCCCCUGCGUGAUAACACUAAAGCUCUAAAACCAUAGACUGUCUCUGUUCAUCAAGGCCUGCUGCACUUACUCUUGCCUGUGUGGGAACCUCUCUCCGGAGCCCCUGGUAUUGGGGGCUGCCCCUUGUCCAUACCUCCUCGAGUGGGGUCAGUGGCUUAAAUCCCACCUAGGACUGAGUGGAAAGCCUCCGGCAUUCUUCCCACAUCUGCCUGCCCAGAGCACAGGAGGAACUCUGGCCGGAUGUGGGCUAUCCUCCCUCCCCUCUUCUUCCCCAUACCCCUUUUAGUUCCCACAGAUGGUAGCAAGAAGAUGGUUCCAUCCAUGUAAGACAGAACCAGCUAAAAAAGACGCACACACAGACACACAUCAGAACUCCAAAUUUCUGGAUACCGUCUAUCUCCACACAGUGCCUGCUGUCACAAGUCCACCUGAGACAGCUCCAUCUCCUGAGACCUACAGACAAAAGCUGCCUUCCUCCAAGAACCUCAUCUGACUGAAGACUCCCAAGACACACACUAAAUCCUACAAAAGACAGACUUGGGACCUUCCAGCUACAGAUGAACUCUCUUGCCAAAGCCAAAUGGCUGCUGAACUUGGGGAAAAUUACAUGAUAGUGAGGAAAACAUAAUGUCUAUCUAGAUUAAUUAAUUGAUGUUCAAAACUGAUGUUAUUAGCCUCAAAUUGUACUACCCAUGGAAAAAUUAAUUGAUCGUACAAUCUCUUACCUUCUCAACACUUACCUUAACUCUUACUACUGUGGCUUUGUUGUGCUACUUCUCUAGGCUAUAUGUUUUCUUCUGAUACUUCCACUCCACCCUAAAUUUUCACAACUAAUGACACAGUCACACAGUGUCACACACACCCCGUUUUCUUAUAAAAACAGACGGGAUACUUGUGGGGCAUUGGGCUAUGCACAGACGGCCUGGUUUCCAGUUGAAGCUAGAUGUUAAGCCCCAGGACCCGGUGGUGAUAAUUCACCUACAUAGGAUGGAAGGAGUUCUCUCAUACUCCUGGAACUCUGGCUCCUGUUGAAGUUACCACCCCUCAGCCCCUACAAGAGAAGCAUGGUUGGUAGUCACAUAGUCACAUAGGCAAUGUCCCAAG
rnacentral:lncRNA from 1 species